CUCCAUGGCCGCCAUUUGAAGAAGGUAACGAUCGUUACUUUUCCCUCUUGGCAUCUUUUUCUUUUUAUUUGUACUGGUACUUGUAACUAAUUAUAAUUUUUUAGUAGGGAAGAAAUUAGUGACUAAAUUUGUGUGGGGUUUCUACUUAUUUUUGGUAUUAGGAUUUUAUAAGAGCCACUGUAAAAAAAAAUGAUACUCUUAAGAAUCUGCUCUCUAGUUGUGUUUCACUCUUGCAGCUGCAAAUGGUGUAGUCAUUGCAACAGAGAAGACACUGCCAUCUAUAUUGGUUGAAGAAGCAUCAGUCCAGAAAAUUCAGUUAUUAACACCAAAUAUAGGGGUGGUAUAAAGGUAUACUAAAAUAGAUGAUUCUUCUCCUAUUUUAUGCACAAUAAUAAAAGGAAAGAAUGAUGGAAAAAACAAUAUUUCUACCUUACCCAGCAGUAUAUUAGCAAAUCAACCAACUAUGUUUGUGAACAUAGAUACUGUCAUACUGAUGUGGAUACCUACAGUUUUGAAGAAGCAAGUAUGCGGGUUAAUACAUUUAUCUCACUAUAUCAACUACUAAGUCUUAGGUGUUGUUUAUUUUUUUUGUUUUUUUUUUAUUUUUAAUGUGUAAUGAGAAAUUGAGAUGUAUAAUAUAUAAUGAAUUUUAUGAAAGCAGGAUCAUAUUUGUACAACUAGAUUGAAAUAUCUCUAAAUAAGUGAGUGAAUACUUACUUUUA